rnacentral:misc_RNA from 1 species
GAUGAAGAACGUAGCGAAAUGCGAUACGUAAUGUGAAUUGCAGAAUUCAGUGAAUCAUCGAAUCUUUGAACGCAUAUUGCGCUCUCUGGUAUUCCGGAGAGCAUGCUUGUUUGAGUAUCAGUAAACACCUCAACUUCCAUAUCUUUUUUGAAAUGGGAGUUGGACUUGAGUGAUCCCAACGCUUUUCCUCACCGAAAAGUGGCGGGUUACUUGAAAUGCAGGAGCAGCUGGACUUUUCUCUGAGCUAUAAGCAUAUCUAUUUAGUCUGCCUAAAAAACAGAUUAUUACCUUUGCUGCAGCUAACAUAAAGGAGAUUAGUUCUUGUGCUGACUGAUGCAGGAUUCACAAAGACAGGCUUCGGCCGACUUUGUAAACUCGAUCUCAAAUCAAGUAAGACUACCCGCUGAACUUAAGCAUAUCAAUAAGCGGAGGA